rnacentral:rRNA from 1 species
GACGAACGCUGGCGGCGUGCCUAACACAUGCAAGUCGAACGGGACCAGGGGCAACUCUGGUUCAGUGGCGGACGGGUGCGUAACACGUGAGGAACAUGACCUUCGGCGGGGGAGUAGCCGGCCCGAACCGGACCGGGUAACGUACCGCGUACGACCACAUGGGACGAUCCUCGAGUGGUGAAAGACAGCAAUAGCGCCGAUGG